rnacentral:rRNA from 1 species
AAUAUUGGUCAAUGGAUGCAAGUCUGAACCAGCCAUGCCGCGUGCAGGAAGAAGGCCUUCUGGGUUGUAAACUGCUUUUGCCGGGGGAUAAAAUACCCAUGCGUGGGAAAUUGAAGGUACCCGGUGAAUAAGCCACGGCUAACUACGUGCCAGCAGCCGCGGUAAUACGUAGGUGGCAAGCGUUGUCCGGAUUUAUUGGGUUUAAAGGGUGCGUAGGCGGCCUAUUAAGUCAGUUCUGAAAUAUCCCGGCUUAACCGGGAGGGUGGGAUUGAUACUGAUGGGCUUGAGUGGAAUCGAGGUAGGCGGAAUUGACGGUGUAGCGGUGAAAUGCUUAGAUAUCGUCAAGAACACCGAUAGUGUAGACAGCUUACUAGACUUCAACUGACGCUGAGGCACGAAAGUGUGGGGAUCAAACAG